UUUGAGCCACUGCAUCCCCUAGCGGCGCCCGGGUGGCUGCAGCCGCUGGCCCGAAAAUGCUGCUCGGGCGAGCAGGGGUCAGGCGGGAAAAGAAGACUCCAAAUCCACUCUCUGCUCGCCCCCAGGGCAAUGCUGCCAGGAGAGGGAGUGGGUUCCCCCGCAGGCUAUCCCACCGAUGGGGCUGAGAGCUUAAUUUGGGGUUUUAUUUGAAUUGGAGACAUUGUUCCCUCUUCGCUCCUCUACCCCAUAAAAUUCCCUACAAAUGCAAAAAUUCGAGAUAGAAGAAGCCGUCCCUGAAAGUAAGUUCUGAAGGAUUCCUUUCAUGCGGUGAAGGAACAACAACAAUAUUCAACUUCACCUUGGUGUGUGAGGGUCGUCGUGUUUUAAAACACUAUCCCUGUAGAAAGAUUAGUGAAAUGUAUUGGAAGAAGUAGUGGAAACGUGAAUCUUCCUGGUCUCGCGUUUGGAUCUUCUUUGGAGUCCUCACCUUCUUAAAUCUGAUGUUUGUUUGAAAUCAGGGCUGAAUUUCCAUAUAUAGGACAGAAAGAAAGAACCCCAAUUUUUUAAAGAAAGCUCCCCCCCCCCCCGCCACGUUUCUCCUGAGCCCACUUGGUCUCCCGUUAUUAGGCGGCCCAGUUAAGAGGCAUCGAUUUUCCUUUCAUUCUCUGACCACUCGUCUCUCCUGGGCCAGCCAGGCUGCCCGCAUCUUCUCCUGCUCACAGCGCUCUCUAAACCUUUUAAUUAUUUAGUUGCUGUCUAACAUUCACCGGAAACCUCUCCAUAAACAAGGAGAAACGAAUGCACACGCAUUUUUGCUAAGAAGCCCGGGAUUAAGAUUUAAGGAUACAAGCUGAAAGAAAAAAUGAAAAAUGCUUCUCCGCGCGUCAAUCGAGGGGUGGAUGCGCCACGCAGCGUGAGCCCAGCUCACAGCCACGCGUAAGACCAAAAGCUGCCAUGGGUUCUGCGCGCGGAGACCUCAGAGCCGAAGAGAGAAGUCCCCGCGUCAGAAACGCUGCGGAUGCCAGGUCUUGAAAAUGCUGACUUCUGAGGCUAAGAAUUAUUUCAAAGACAAAAAGAAAAGACUGGGAGCAGCCGGCGGAGCUCGGGUGGAGGAAAGCGAGGAGGCGACCAGGAGGAUGCCGCCGCCGCCGCCGCAGGGCCCGGGGCUUCUGCAGGGCGCAAGGCCUCCCUCACCAGGGUAAGGGGCUGGCGAUCAACCUGGACGCCUGGGACCUUGGGAGCAAGCAUCCCGCAGCCGAGCAGGCGACGGCGCGGCCACCGCCUAGAGAGGAGCCGGGGCCCGGGGCGGCGUGCGGGUCGGCAGCAGCCGGCUUGGCCUAUCCGAAACCCCAGGCCUGGAAGCGGCUGCUUUAGGCGUCAAGUUGAGCGGGGUAUGUGUGUCCUCUUGGGAAAAAGGUGAGAAAUGGAGCCGGACUUUCUCCACUCGGUAGGGGUUAAGCUACCACACACACCCCCAAACACAUGCCCACGUGCAAGUCCCUCCCACCCGCCCUCCCAGGGGCGAAGAGACCCUGUCCCAGUGGAAGUGGGGAAACCCAGUCGGGUACAGAAAGCAGAGGCCAUGGCGCAGAGCGGAGGCGCGGCUUUCUGGGGCUCAGCCCUAGGGCUACAGACCCAGGGCGCGGAGAUGCUCGCGGCCGGGCCACCCACCAGAGCCAGGCAACCGGCGCUUCCAGGCGAGCUCCGCGGGGCCGAGGUGCCGGGAGAAGCGGCCCCGGGCGCCCGCGCGCUGCCCGACCUGGGUAACAGGCAAAGCGGAGCCCCGGGGUCGAAGUCCUAAAGUUACUAAUCCCGCGGAGGGGGAGAGAGCGUGCCUCGGGCCGCCCGGGGCGGUCAUUUGAGCGUGUUUACUUAAAGACUUUGCAAGCAGAGCGCGCGCGAAAUCGUCGGAUUUCCAGCGAGGCAGCAAAUAUUUGCAGGCAGAAGAAAGAAGCGGAGCCGAGCCGAGCCGCCGAGUCCCUCCCCCCGGAGCCCCGGAGCCCCGGCGCCUGCCUGGGCGGUCCCGGCCGCGCAGACAGAAAAGAAGCCGGGAAUCUGCGGGGCUGGGGGGCGGGGAGCGACACCAAAGGCCAGAAACUGCAGCACGGCCCGAGGCCCUGGCGAGCUGGGCCUGGGGGAGGAGAAGUCCCUUCCCAUUCCAGCUCGAUCAAUCUUGCUGGGCUGCGAUCGGUCAAUAAAAACGGUGUGAAGCGGCC
rnacentral:lncRNA from 1 species